AUGGCGUCGUUAGCCCUCAGGCCCAUCAUGCCAGCAGCCGCCGCGGCCGCUUCCACGACCACAUCUCUCAACCGCGCCCGCCGCGGCAGCUCUACCCUUCUCCGUCGCCGGCAGCCAGUCACGUGCAUGGCCGAGAGCAGCGGCGGCGGCAACAGCACCGUGGAGCUGGCCGCCGGGGCGGCGGGGCUGGCGUCGUGCGCGACGGUGGCGUGGUCCCUCUACACCCUCAAGGCGACGGGCUGCGGCCUGCCCCCGGGCCCCGGCGGCUCGCUGGGCGCGGCGGAGGGCGUCAGCUACCUCGUGGUGGCGGGCCUCGUCGGCUGGUCGCUCACCACCAAGGUGCGCACCGGGUCGGGCCUCCCGGCCGGGCCCUACGGCCUCCUCGGCGCCGCCGAGGGCGUCGCGUACCUCACCGUCGUCGCCAUCGCCGCCGUGUUCGGGCUGCAGUUCUUCCAGCAGGGGUCGCUCCCGGGCCCGUUGCCGUCGGAGCAGUGCUUUGGGUAG
rnacentral:rRNA from 1 species